UUUUCAGAUCAUAAGAGUAUCGCCGAACUUCUCAUCCACAAUGGAGCCAAUGUUAAUAGUGAAAAUGAUGAGAAAAACACACCUCUUCAUUUAGCUGCUGAGAGUGGUUAUGAGAGUGUCGCUGAAUAUCUCAUCCGUGAAGGAGCAAAUGUUGAUAGUGGAAAUAAUGUGAAAAACACACCUCUUCAUUUAGCUGCUGAGAAUGGUCAUGAGAGUGUCGCUAAACUUCUCAUCCGUAAAGGAGCAAAUGUUAACGUUGAAAAUAAUUCGAAUCAGACUCCUCGUCAAGUAGCUAUUGACAAUGGUCACAAUGAGGUCGCCAAACUUUUUAUCGGUAAAGGAAACAAAAUUUAAUGAUGAGCCAUUGGAAUAGAUUCAAUUGGCUACUAACAAUGGUGACGAAUAGCUGAACCAAUUUAGCUGAAUAAUCGGAUGAUUUCCUUCGGUUCCCCUUUUCGAUUGUAGUGUAGAAUUAUUAUUAUCAUCGAUUAUUAUUCUGUCAUAAAACAGCUCAAGUUAUUUGUCUUUUUAAUUGCUUACAUUCCAUUUUUGUGACCCAAACGUACAUCCGUGCUAAAUUUGAACGCGAUUUGUAUGAGUCUAAUGCCGUAGGCAAAAUCCAAGAAUAAAAAUAAAUUAUGCAGAAAAGAUGAUAGAAAAUAAUCUAAAUUUCAAUCUGGUUUGAACAGUGUUGGUUGCUCUUGUUCACUUUCGAGUGAUAGAAGAAUCUGGUUCACUCUAGAGUAUAGAGUCUACGCGGAUGGGUUCAAUUUUUCUUGAUACGGCGUCAGACGUCAAUGUAGAAAGAACUCUUUUUCUUGAUUAUAAUCUACUGAAGAUUUAUGCACGUCAUUUAGUGCAAAAGCAUUCAUUGCCCUACCUUACGCGAGCACCAUCUAUUCGGUUUUAACAUGAAAACAAACAAAUUGAUCCAUACAGAGUUAUAAUACAAUAACAUCUCUAUGUAGAGGAAACGCUGUGUAGUUCGUUUUAUUCGGCACACUUUUUAUACACUGCCUUUAUUCCCACCGAUUCAUAUGUCGGUUGGCAGGUGGAGUCACUUUGCUUGUUUUCAUGUUCGCACCGAAUAGAUGGGACUUUCGCGUUAGGGAGGGCAAUAAAUGCAGUUUUGCA